GAUGAACGCUGGCGGCGUGCCUAAUACAUGCAAGUCGAGCGAACGGACGAGAAGCUUGCUUCUCUGAUGUUAGCGGCGGACGGGUGAGUAACACGUGGAUAACCUACCUAUAAGACUGGGAUAACUUCGGGAAACCGGAGCUAAUACCGGAUAAUAUUUUGAACCGCAUGGUUCAAAAGUGAAAGACGGUCUUGCUGUCACUUAUAGAUGGAUCCGCGCUGCAUUAGCUAGUUGGUAAGGUAACGGCUUACCAAGGCAACGAUGCAUAGCCGACCUGAGAGAGUGAUAGGCCACACUGGAACUGAGACACGGUCCAGACUCCUACGGGAGGCAGCAGUAGGGAAUCUUCCGCAAUGGGCGAAAGCCUGACGGAGCAACGCCGCGUGAGUGAUGAAGGUCUUCGGAUCGUAAAACUCUGUUAUUAGGGAAGAACAUAUGUGUAAGUAACUGUGCACAUCUUGACGGUACCUAAUCAGAAAGCCACGGCUAACUACGUG
rnacentral:rRNA from 1 species